rnacentral:rRNA from 1 species
AAAAUCCGUGUCCCACAUAUCCUGAGAGGUGAUGCGUAGCCGUAGCGGCGAAAUCCAUGAUCCUAUGCUGCCGAGAAAAGCCUCUAGCGAGCUGGUACAUGGCCCGUACCCCAAACCGACACAGGUGGUCAGGUAGAGAAUACUAAGGCGAUCGAGAGAACUUUGGUUAAGGAACUCGGCAAAAUGCCCCCGUAACUUCGGGAGAAGGGGGACCAGUCCUGGUGACGACAUUUACUGUCUGAGCUGGGGUUGGUCGCAGAGACCAGAGAGAAGCGACUGUUUACUAAAAACACAGGUCCGUGCGAAGUCGUAAGACGAUGUAUACGGACUGACGCCUGCCCGGUGCUGGAAGGUUAAGAGGACCGGUCAGCCACUUCGGUGGCGAAGCUGAGAAUUUAAGCCCCAGUAAACGGCGGUGGUAACUGUAACCAUCCUAAGGUAGCGAAAUUCCUUGUCGGGUAAGUUCCGACCUGCACGAAUGGCGUAACGACUUCUCUGCUGUCUCAACCACAGACUCGGCGAAAUUGCAGUACGAGUAAAGAUGCUCGUUACGCGCGGCAGGACGAAAAGACCCCGGGACCUUCACUAUAGCUUGGUAUUGGUGUUCGGUUCGGUUUGUGUAGGAUAGGUGGGAGACUGUGAAACUCGCACGCCAGUGUGGGUGGAGUCAUUGUUGAAAUACCACUCUGACCGUAUUGGACAUCUAACCUCGGACCAUGAUCUGGUUCAGGGACAGUGCCUGGUGGGUAGUUUAACUGGGGCGGUUGCCUCCUAAAAAGUAACGGAGGCGCCCAAAGGUUCCCUCAGCCUGGUUGGCAAUCAGGUGUUGAGUGUAAGUGCACAAGGGAGCUUGACUGUGAGACGUACAUGUCGAGCAGGGACGAAAGUCGGGACUAGUGAUCCGGCACCGGCAAGUGGAAGCGGUGUCGCUCAACGGAUAAAAGGUACCCCGGGGAUAACAGGCUGAUCUUCCCCAAGAGUCCAUAUCGACGGGAUGGUUUUGCACCUCGAUGUCGGCUCGUCGCAUCCUGGGGCUGGAGUAGGUCCCAAGGGUUGGGCUGUUCGCCCAUUAAAGCGGCACGCGAGCUGGGUUUAGAACGUCGUGAGACAGUUCGGUCUCUAUCCGCCGCGCGCGUAAGAAACUUGAGGAAACCUGCCCCUAGUACGAGAGGACCGGGACGGACGAACCUCUGGUGUGCCAGUUGUUCCACCAGGAGCACCGCUGGUUAGCUACGUUCGGAAGGGAUAACCGCUGAAAGCAUCUAAGCGGGAAGCCUGUUCCAAGAUGAGGUUUCUCACCACCUU